GUCAUUCUCCAGCUUGUCAAAAUACCUGUUAAAAUCUGAACUAAACACAGUGCUCCUGGUGAGGACUAAUGAAUGCAGAAUAUGGGCCUACGGUGGGCACAGUGAGCUUGGAACUUCACCCGAUCAUUUCAACGACCUUAAGAGCGUUACCAUCACAUGUUGGGGAUUUUCCCUCGGGUAAACUAAAGCUUUGAGCACGUCCUAACGUCAUUCUGAAAGAAGGGACGCUCCUCGGAGCCUCGUGGAGGUUUUGCUUAUUCUUUGGCGCCUCAACAUAGACAAGCUCAGACUCCUCCUCGCUUUAUUGGCAACAAUAACAACAAAUUUCUCCAUUCACAUGAAGCGUUUAUUAGGUAGUAAGCAGAUGUUACCGAGGAGACCAAAACAACAACUGGGUGUAUGUGUGUCUGGGAAAUUGGAUGAAAUGAAAAGGUUUACAUCCUGACAAGUCAACGUCAAAUGAAACAACAGAUGAUCAAUAUGCCCUGUUACCUCACCACCUGUAACCUCACUCACUGCCCCUCUCUGUUUUUCUGGCCUUUCUCAUUUUUCCUGUUUCUUCGGCAUUUACAGCCAUCACUUCUUUUGAAGAGCUAUUACAGCAACUUUCUGCCCUUUCUUAGAUGGAACAUCUUUCUCCUCCCAAAUUCUUCCUUCCCAAUUCCCUUAGAUUCUAAUCUACCCUAAGGAAAAUGCUGACUUUUUAUCAGAUAUACUAUAAUUAUGAUAAGGAAACAAUGAAAUGGUAAACACAAAGACCGCCUAAGAAAAAGGGCACAUAUUUAUUGCAAGUGAUGAAAAUAAUGCAAACUAAAAUAAGACUUUCAUCCAGAAAAGCAUAUAAAAUCCAGGUAAGGAAUGCAGUCUUUCCCAUUCUCUGGAAAGCUCCUCCUGAACCAAAGGAGAAAGUUCUUUCCCUUUCUGCUCUCUUUCACUUAACUAUAGGGACUAUUUAGUGUUUUUCUUCCUAAGUCCUAUAUUCCCAUACACAGUAAUAGUGAGCACUGUUGUUUGAGCUUAUUAAUAGAUUGAACGACAUGUUCAUUCAUUCAGCAAACAGACAUGUUUAUCUGAAAUGGAGAUGCAAAAAUAAAUCAGACAUUUUGCCUUCAAAGGCAUUACAGUCCAAUGAUUAUCAUUUAAAUAAAUUAUACGUGUUGUCAGUAUUAUGAUAAGCCUGUGUUUUGAGUAGAGAGGGACCACACAAGAGGGUCUGGACAGUUUUUCACUGACAAUGUUUGGAUGUGGGUGACACAAGUUAUUUUUAAAAACAAAUAACUAUUAAGUGCUCUCAAGGUGGACAGUUCAACGCUGGGAAAAUGGAAGAUGCUUUUUUCAUGAAUGAAGAAAUAACGGAUAAAAAUGACUUCGCCUAUUUUGAGGAGUUAAAGUAAGGAGGAUUGAAUGAAGAAAUGUGCCAAAAGAGAGACUGGCUACCUUCAGGUCUCUGGUCCUCUUUUUUGUCUCUGUCAACAAGAAACGAACCCUAGAACAUGCCACCAGUCAUGUAGACCCACUGUCAAGGUGAUGGCCAGACCUUCCACAUAAGGACGCAGGAUGCCUGGCCCUGUUGAUUUCAUCACAGUCCUCCAUACUGUCCAGU
rnacentral:lncRNA from 1 species